AGAGUUUGAUCAUGGCUCAGAUUGAACGCUGGCGGCAUGGAUUAGGCAUGCAAGUCGAACGAUGAAGCAGUGCUUGCACUGUGAAUUAGUGGCGAAAGGGUGAGUAACACGUGAGUAAUCUGCCUUCAACUCGGGGAUAGCCUUUGGAAACGAAGAUUAAUACCGGAUGUGAAGUUUAAAUCGCAUGAUUUUAACUUUAAAAUUUUUUGGUUGGAGAUGGGCUCGCGUCCCAUUAGCUAGUUGGUAAGGUAACGGCUUACCAAGGCAACGACGGGUAGGUGGUCUGAGAGGAUGGUCACCCACACUGGAACUGAGACACUGUCCAGACUCCUACGGGAGGCUGCAGUCGAGAAUCUUCCGCAAUGGGCGAAAGCCUGACGGAGCAAUGCCGCGUGAAUGAUGAAGGCCUUCGGGUUGUAAAAUUCUGUCACCUGGGACGAAAUUUGACGGUACCAGGAGAGGAAGUGACGGCUAACUACGUGCCAGCAGCCGCGGUAAUACGUAGGUCACGAGCGUUAAUCGGAUUUAUUGGGCGUAAAGGGUCCGCAGGGGGUUUUAUAAGUUUGACGUGAAAUGUCGAGGCUCAACCUC
rnacentral:rRNA from 1 species